rnacentral:rRNA from 1 species
AGGCCACUGCUAUGGGGGUCCGACUAAGCCAUGCNAGUCAUGGGGCGCCUUGCGCGCACCGGCGGACGGCUCAUUAACACGUCGGUAACCUACCCUCGGGAGGGGGAUAACCCCGGGAAACUGGGGCUAAUCCCCCAUAGGCCUGAGGUACUGGAAGGUCCUCAGACCGAAAGGGCUCUGCCCGCCCGAGGAUGGGCCGGCGGCCGAUUAGGUAGUUGGUGGGGUAACGGCCCACCAAGCCGAAGAUCGGUACGGGCCAUGAGAGUGGGAGCCCGGAGAUGGACACUGAGACACGGGUCCAGGCCCUACGGGGCGCAGCAGGCGCGAAACCUCCGCAAUGCUCGAAAGAGCGACGGGGGGACCCCCAGUGCCGUGGCAUCGCCACGGCUUUUCCGGAGUGUAAAGAGCUCCGGGAAUAAGGGCUGGGCAAGGCCGGUGGCAGCCGCCGCGGUAAUACCGGCGGCCCGAGUGGUGGCCGCUAUUAUUGGGCCUAAAGCGUCCGUAGCCGGGCCUGUAAGUCCCUGGCGAAAUCCCACGGCUCAACCGUGGGGCUUGCUGGGGAUACUGCAGGCCUUGGGACCGGGAGAGGCGGAGGGUACUCCUGGGGUAGGGGUGAAAUCCUAUAAUCCCAGGAGGACCGCCAGUGGCGAAGGCGCUCCGCUGGAACGGGUCCAACGGUGAGGGACGAAGGCCAGGGGAGCGAACCGGAUUAGAUACCCGGGUAGUCCUGGCUGUAAAGGAUGCGGGCUAGGUGUCGGGUGAGCUUCGUGCUCGCCCGGUGCCGAAGGGAAGCCGUUAGGCCCGCCGCCUGGGGAGUACGGCCGCAAGGCUGAAACUUAAAGGAAUUGGCGGGGGAGCACUACAAGGGGUGGAGCGUGCGGUCUAAUUGGAUUCAACGCCGGGAACCUCACCGGGGGCGACGGCAGGAUGAAGGCCAGGCUGAAGGUCUUGCCGGACGCGCCGAGAGGAGGUGCAUGGCCGCCGUCAGCUCGUACCGUGAGGCGUCCACUUAAGUGUGGUAACGAGCGAGACCCGCGCCCCCAGUUGCCAGUCCUUCCCGCUUGGGAAGGAGGCACUCUGGGGGGACCGCCGGCGAUAAGCCGGAGGAAGGAGCGGGCGACGGUAGGUCAGUAUGCCCCGAAUCCCCCGGGCUACACGCGCGCUACAAUGAGCGGGACAAUGGGAUCCGACCCCGAAAGGGGAAGGUAAUCCCCUAAACCCGCUCCCAGUUCGGAUUGCGGGCUGCAACUCGCCCGCAUGAAGCUGGAAUCCCUAGUACCCGCGUGUCAUCAUCGCGCGGCGAAUACGUCCCUGCUCCU